UAACUUUGGUUGGCGACCGGCGCACGGUGCGUAACGCGUAUGCAACCACCUUAACAGGGCGAUAACACUGAGAAAUUGGUACUAAUUCCCCACUAACAUUCGAGAAGGCAUCUUCUUGGGUUAAAAACUCCGGUGGUUAAAGAUGGGCAUGCGUUGUAUUAGCUAGUUGGUGAGGUAACGGCUCACCAAGGCAACGAUACAUAGGGGGACUGAGAGGUUAACCCCCCACAUUGGUACUGAGACACGGACCAA
rnacentral:rRNA from 1 species